AAAUUGAAGAGUUUGAUCAUGGCUCAGAUUGAACGCUGGCGGCAGGCCUAACACAUGCAAGUCGAACGGUAACAGGAAACAGCUUGCUGUUUCGCUGACGAGUGGCGGACGGGUGAGUAAUGUCUGGGAAACUGCCUGAUGGAGGGGGAUAACUACUGGAAACGGUAGCUAAUACCGCAUAACGUCGCAAGACCAAAGAGGGGGACCUUCGGGCCUCUUGCCAUCGGAUGUGCCCAGAUGGGAUUAGCUUGUUGGUGGGGUAACGGCUCACCAAGGCGACGAUCCCUAGCUGGUCUGAGAGGAUGACCAGCCACACUGGAACUGAGACACGGUCCAGACUCCUACGGGAGGCAGCAGUGGGGAAUAUUGCACAAUGGGCGCAAGCCUGAUGCAGCCAUGCCGCGUGUAUGAAGAAGGCCUUCGGGUUGUAAAGUACUUUCAGCGGGGAGGAAGGGAGUAAAGUUAAUACCUUUGCUCAUUGACGUUACCCGCAGAAGAAGCACCGGCUAACUCCGUGCCAGCAGCCGCGGUAAUACGGAGGGUGCAAGCGUUAAUCGGAAUUACUGGGCGUAAAGCGCACGCAGGCGGUUUGUUAAGUCAGAUGUGAAAUCCCCGGGCUCAACCUGGGAACUGCAUCUGAUACUGGCAAGCUUGAGUCUCGUAGAGGGGGGUAGAAUUCCAGGUGUAGCGGUGAAAUGCGUAGAGAUCUGGAGGAAUACCGGUGGCGAAGGCGGCCCCCUGGACGAAGACUGACGCUCAGGUGCGAAAGCGUGGGGAGCAAACAGGAUUAGAUACCCUGGUAGUCCACGCCGUAAACGAUGUCGACUUGGAGGUUGUGCCCUUGAGGCGUGGCUUCCGGAGCUAACGCGUUAAGUCGACCGCCUGGGGAGUACGGCCGCAAGGUUAAAACUCAAAUGAAUUGACGGGGGCCCGCACAAGCGGUGGAGCAUGUGGUUUAAUUCGAUGCAACGCGAAGAACCUUACCUGGUCUUGACAUCCACGGAAGUUUUCAGAGAUGAGAAUGUGCCUUCGGGAACCGUGAGACAGGUGCUGCAUGGCUGUCGUCAGCUCGUGUUGUGAAAUGUUGGGUUAAGUCCCGCAACGAGCGCAACCCUUAUCCUUUGUUGCCAGCGGUCCGGCCGGGAACUCAAAGGAGACUGCCAGUGAUAAACUGGAGGAAGGUGGGGAUGACGUCAAGUCAUCAUGGCCCUUACGACCAGGGCUACACACGUGCUACAAUGGCGCAUACAAAGAGAAGCGACCUCGCGAGAGCAAGCGGACCUCAUAAAGUGCGUCGUAGUCCGGAUUGGAGUCUGCAACUCGACUCCAUGAAGUCGGAAUCGCUAGUAAUCGUGGAUCAGAAUGCCACGGUGAAUACGUUCCCGGGCCUUGUACACACCGCCCGUCACACCAUGGGAGUGGGUUGCAAAAGAAGUAGGUAGCUUAACCUUCGGGAGGGCGCUUACCACUUUGUGAUUCAUGACUGGGGUGAAGUCGUAACAAGGUAACCGUAGGGGAACCUGCGGUUGGAUCAC
rnacentral:rRNA from 1 species